UUUGGCCCUUUAAUUAAGCGCGCGGAAUGAAGCCGGCAACCCCUCAAAUUUGAAAUCUGGCUCUAAAAAAAAAAAGAAAGUUGUAAUUUGAAGAAGGUAUCUUUGUGUCUCUGGGCUCUUGUCUAUGUUUCUUGGACAGAACGUCACAGAGGGUGAGAAUCCCGUGCGAUGAUAUGAUCCCGGCCUAUGUAAAGUUCCUUCGAAGAGUCGAGUUGUUUGGGAAUGCAGUUCUAAUGGGUGCGUAAUUCUUUCUAAAGCUAAUUAUUG
rnacentral:rRNA from 1 species